UACGGGGGGGGUAAGCGUUGUUCGGAAUUACUGGGCGUAAAGGGCGCGUAGGCGGCCAUCUAAGUCAGACGUGAAAUCCCCCGGCUUAACCUGGGAACUGCGUCUGAUACUGGACGGCUUGAGUAUGGGAGAGGGAUGUAGAAUUCCAGGUGUAGCGGUGAAAUGCGUAGAUAUCUGGAGGAACACCGGUGGCGAAGGCGGCGUUCUGGACUGCAACUGACACUGAGGAACGAAAGCCAGGGGAGCAAACGGG
rnacentral:rRNA from 1 species